GUUAGGAAUAUUGGACAAUGGGCGCAAGCCUGAUCCAGCCAUGCCGCGUGAACGAUGAAGGCCUUCGGGUUGUAAAGUUCUUUAGCCGAUGAUUAUAAUGACUGUAGUCGGAAAAUAAGCCCCGGCUAACUUCGUGCCAGCAGCCGCGGUAAUACGAAGGGGGCGAGCGUUAUUCGGAAUCACUGGGCGUAAAGCGUGCGUAGGCGGUCUCGUAAGUUAGGAGUGAAAGCCCAGGGCUCAACCUUGGAAUUGCUCUUAAUACUGCAAGGCUAGAAUCUCGGAGAGGAUAGCGGAAUUUCCAGUGUAGCAGUGAAAUGCGUAGAUAUUGGAAGGAACACCAGUGGCGUAAGCGGCUAUCUGGACGAGUAUUGACGCUGAGGCACGAAAGCGUGGGGAUCAAACAGGAUUAGAAACCCCUCC
rnacentral:rRNA from 1 species